UUUUACUUGCUAGCAUAAAAAAAGUGAAGUUGAAUUUAACAGUUAACAUCAUCGCUGGACCUUCGUUAAUCAUAUCGAUUUAAAAUAAAAAAUAGACUUUGACGAUGAAUCCUCUCAAUCCCAUACAAAUGUGCGGGUUAUGUGAAAUCUGUCAGCAAACAAAUAUCACGAAUCAUGCUUGUUUAAGAUGAUGGAGUGACCAUAAUAAAAAGUAGAAUGCCAAGUAUAAAUAAAAAAAUAGUAACAAUGCAAUCACACAAGAAAAAUAAGUAAUAAAUUUGAUGAUUGUAUCAAAAUAAUGUGAAAACUUUUUUUUGUUUUUUUAUUGUAUUUAAGUUUUAUAUUUAGAUUUUGUUUCGUCCAUACAUGAAUAUUAUCUGAAUAAAAUUCUUAUGAGAAACGAAGAAAUUCAGAUGAAGGCUUAAAAGCAAAACUUAAUGAUGAUGAAGAAACUCUCAUUUUAGAAAGUUAGUUCCAGUUACGAAAGCCUCUUUGGAAUUAUAAACUUCCACUAUCACGCAACAUUAAAAAUUACAGUCAAUGAAGCUAAUGAAAUAAAAUUUAAAAGCUUACAUGAUACAUACAACGAAUAAAUAUUAAAUAAAUGUAAAUAAAUAUAAUAUUCAAAAUAA
rnacentral:sRNA from 1 species